UACGUAGGGUGCAAGCGUUAAUCGGAAUUACUGGGCGUAAAGGGCGCGCAGGCGGCUUCGCAAGUCAGGCGUGAAAUCCCCGAGCUUAACUUGGGAAUUGCGUUUGAAACUACGAGGCUGGAGUGUGGCAGAGGGAGGUGGAAUUCCACGUGUAGCGGUGAAAUGCGUAGAUAUGUGGAGGAACACCGAUGGCGAAGGCAGCCUCCUGGGCCAACACUGACGCUCAUGCACGAAAGCGUGGGGAGCAAACAGG
rnacentral:rRNA from 1 species